UACAGAGGUCUCAAGCGUUGUUCGGAUUCAUUGGGCGUAAAGGGUGCGUAGGUGGCGCGCUAAGUCAGGUGUGAAAUUUCGGAGCUUAACUCCGAAACUGCAUUUGAUACUGGCGUGCUGGAGGACUGGAGAGGAGACUGGAAUUCACGGUGUAGCAGUGAAAUGCGUAGAUAUCGUGAGGAAGACCAGUGGCGAAGGCGGGUCUCUGGACAGUUCCUGACACUGAGGCACGAAGGCCAGGGGAGCAAACGGG
rnacentral:rRNA from 1 species